CACAUGUUAACCAAUACCAUGGGUAUGGCUCAGACAGUAAUUCUCUUCCCACUGCUGUCAUUUUGUCUUCAAGCCUUUAUCUGCAUGCUCAGUCAGGAGCUUCACACCAUGGUCAGAUGUGUUUGUCCUCAGUCACCAGACCACAGAGAGGUAUCAAGUCUCAAUUAAUACACACACACACACACACACACACACACACACACUUCAGAUCUUUAUUUUAGUGACUGUCAUAUGGGGAAAACCCUAUGUGUAAAUAAAGGUAUGUGCUCAAAGCUUUGUUCAGUGGUGCAUUCAACCAAUAUUGGGCACCUGCAAUGUGGCAGGGCCUGCCACGGGCCCCGAGGAUGCAUCAGUAAACAACAUAAAGCCCCCACACCGACCUCCCCCGAGCCAUCAAAGAGACAGACACGACAGUGAUGGUUUAAGACAAUUAGCAGUGCCCAAAAAUUCCUCCCAAGAUGGAAAAUUAAUCUUCCAAUUAGGCCAUGAGGAGCUCCUGCAGAUGACAUGCAUUCAUUUCCCUCAACUGUUCCUUCUCCACAGCAACCACGUGCCCUCCCCCAUAUUCCAACUUGACAAAGCGGUGGAAAUCUGAGGCACUGCAAAGAGAGAGGUCUCGGCCACGAGAAGCACCUCUUGUCUCAUGGAUAUAUGGGAUCCGUUGUGAUCCCGAGGACAAGCACGUCUUUCCACGCCUCAGGAGAGCUGUGCUGCCCACCGCUGCCCGCCCGGAGAUUGCGCCGAGCUGGCGUGUGCCACAAAGGGUGAUCACCACGCUGUGUCCACUGCACUCCAAUGCCAUGAUGGUCGGAGCUGCUGCUGCUGCUACUCACUUGGCCACAGACGGCGGUCACUGAUGGCGGUCACCUGCACAGCAGGGGCUCGACGUUUUGACAUCUAGGGGAGCCUCGCAGACACUGGGAGAGACCGCCCCUUCCAGAGCUGGCUAGUUCCCAAAGACACCGAAACACACACAGCUGGGACUUCUUUCUUCUGUAGCCAAAAGACAUCGUGAUUUAGCGCCAUCAGCUUUGCUUGAGAAAACGACCUUCCCUAACCACACGUUUCCGAAGAAGUGUCAUCUCUGCUCAGCCUGCUAGGUUGGGAGACUAAAAUGUGAAGAUGGGUCUGGCUCAGGGUCCCACUGCUGUCUCAGCAAGUCUGGCCAGAAGCUAACUGGAGUCAGGCCAAGGGGGCAUCACUGUCAGACCCUUGGCCCACCCAAGUGCCCACCCACACAUCUGUCGCGUGCCACCCCGGGCUGCCCUGUCCUCUGGGGUGGGGUAUCGCGCAGUUCUGACUGGGACCCAUGCAGCUGUCCUCUCGUGCAAUUGCUAAGAAGGUGAAGUGGGGUCACAAAAGGCCAUUCUAGACCAGCAGGUGCUCGAUGGGAGGCCUGGGGGUGGCCACAGCCUUUCGUUCUGGUCUCCAGGUAUUGAAGGCCACCAAGCAUCCCGCCUUCCACACAUCCUCCUCUCGGCAGGGAGGGAGAACAGAAUAGGGCUGCGUGGCGGUUUCCUCCUGGAUCCCACAUACACAGAGGAGCUGGCUGUGCUGCAGGUACAUGGGGCUUUCCCUUCAGCGGACAGCUCCCUCCACCAGCCAUUCUCCCACAGCCCACACGCUCACACCAUCAGGCAGGCAUGCCCCGAUGUGCGAUGUCCUUCAUCAAAACCCCUCGUGAUAGUGCAGCUUAAUGCCAUCCGAGUGCUGGAAAGAACCACAGGCCCCAGCUCUCACCCUGGAGCCGCAGCAGGGCCCACGCUCUCUCUGAGCCUCGGUGUCCACCACAGUCUCAGCAGGGGCAGCACCAAGUAACAUCUGGUCCCCCUGCCCCCUGCGUCUGUACUUUUGAGGCCUCCCUGGCUCCCCUCACCCUGUCUGAACACGCCACUCUGUCAUCUCAAGGCUUUGUGUCUCCCAUGAAGCCUUCAGCAGGUUCUGCCCUGGUCACCCCUGGCUGCCCAUCAGCAGGGCUCAGGUCCCAGAGGCACCGAGGGAGCUUCAGAUGGUGCCUCCUGCCAAGACAGGCCCCCUGAGCGAACGUGAGGUCAGGCCUGAAAAGAAAGCAAGGAAGGCCUGCUGAGGAUGUACCUCCUUUCCCAGGCAGGCACCUGCAGAAGGCCACAGCCCCAACUGUUCCCCGAGGAGGUGUCCCCACAUAGCCAUCCGUGGCACAGUGGCUCCCACUCAGGGCCCUGCUAAUGUCCUCGGACAUCCAUCUACACCUCUCUCCCUGCACACACUGCAGGCGUGCCAGCUCAGGAGCUCAAACCUCUGCAAACACGAUUAUUUAGCAAAACCCAGACAUGACACCCCAGAAGCGGCACCCCCACUCUGUAGUCAGACCACAACCUUUUUAGGGACAAGGAGUGGAGUCAGGCUCCCGCAGCACCUACCACCACCUUGGGCACAUUGCUGAUGCUCAAAUCAAAUCUUUCGAACCACAAUGAGACAGCGCCUCCCCCACCCUCCAGGAUGAAGAUAACCAAGAAGAGAGAUGGGAACAGAAGCAGGCAAGGGAGUGGAGCAAGUGGAGCCCUCAUCCGACGCUGGAGAGGAGGUCCAACGGCGCAGCCACUCUCUGGAACAUGGUUUGUCCCUCCUCCACUGAGGGACACACGACUCCACACGGCCCAGCAGCUCCACUCCUAGGAAUCUACCCGAGAGAAACGAAAUCGCGUCCACACAAAAGCCUGUACAAGAAUGUCCAAGUGUGUAAAAGCCAAAAAGUGGGAACAACCCAAAUGUCCAGCAUGUGAUAAACAUAAUAUUGGAUUAAAAAGAUGCUGUAUCAUAUGGUGCAGUAUCACUCAGCCUUUAAAAGGAAGGAAUCACUGAAUCAUGCUAAACGUGGUCAAGCCUUGAAAACAUGAUGCUGAGUGAGAAGAUGGACACAAAGGUCAUGUAUUAUACGAUUCCAUUUAUAUGAACUGUCCCAGAUGGGCAAAUCCGUAGAGAUGAAAUGGAGAUUUGUGGUCGCCAGGGCCGGAGGUGAUUGGUUAGAGGGAUUCAGGAGGAGGGAGUGACUUCUAAUGGUACAGGUUUUGGGGGGGAAUAUAAAAAAAGAUUACUCUUCACAAAUGUUAAUAUUGAUUUGGGUGAUGACUGCGCCACUCUGAAAAUACAGCCACGUGCUGCUGUCAACAUUUCAGUCAAGGAGGGACUGUGUAUGCAAUGGCGGUCCCAUAAGAUUGCAAUGGAGCUGAAAACUUUUUAUCACCAAGUGAGGUCACAGCCCCAGGGACGUCGUAGCUCAAUGCAUUCCUCACGCGUCUGUGAUGCUGCUGGCCUAAACAGACCUCCUGCACUGCCAAUCUAAUUAAAGUCUAGCACAUACAAUUUUGUAGGUACAUAGUACUCAAUAAUAAGAAAAAACUAUGUUACUGGUUUAUGCAUUUACUAUAUUUUUUAGAGUAUAUGCCUUCUACUUAUUAAAAAAUAAAGAGGCUGGGUGCAGUGGCUCACGCCUGCAAUCCCAGCACUUUGGGAGGCUGAGGUGGGAGGAUUAGCUGAGGUCAGGAGUUUGAGACCAGUCUGGCCAACAUGGUGAAACCCCGUCUCUACCAAAAAUACAAAAUUAGCCAGGCAUGGUGGUGCAUGCCUCUAAGUCCCAGCUACUUGGGAGGCUGAGGCAGAAGAAUCGCUUGAACCCGGGGGGUAGAAGAUGAAGUGAGUCAAGAUCGUGCCAUUGCACUCCAGCCUGGGUGACAAGAGCAAAACUCCGUCUCAAAAUAAAAUAAGAGAGUAAACUAGGGGCCAGGUGCAGUGGCUCAUGCCUGUAAUCCCAGCACUUCGGG
rnacentral:lncRNA from 10 species